AUGGACAUGGGACUUAUGGAGGAACCAGACACCACUGUGGAGCCUCUUUUCUGUGGCCAACUUGAGCUUGCUCAUCCCAAGUGCAUUCUGCAUCAAAUGAGGCCUAUUAAGCGUGUUGCUUUUGAAGGGCCUGAAAAUGGUGUGAAUUGUGGUGUUGUAGAGUGGGUUGAUGGGCCUUGGCCAACUGUUCUUCAGAGAUGUUUGUGCAAGCUAUGGGAGAUGUUCCAUGAGCAGAACUUUGGAAGGGUACAGGACAAGGAGAAGUUUGAGAAGGAGUUGGCCAGGCUUAAGAGUGAACAUGAAAGGGAGUUGGCCAAGCUUAGGACUGAAAAUGAUAAGCUUUGCAUUGAGUACACCAAGCUUGUUGAUGAUGUAUCCAAGAUGUUUGAUUGGCAGGAUGGUAGGGUGGACAAGAAGGUGCACCAGAAAAAAGUGGAGGAGGAAGAACUUGAGAAGAAGAAGAAGGAGCUAGAGGAGAAAGCUAUGUUGGAGGUGCAGAUGGAAAAGCUCAAACUUACCAGAAAGGCUAUGAAGGAUGUUCAAGUUGACAGAGAUGUUCUUAAGAAGGAGAAGGCAAAGCUUGAGCUUGUUGUUGCUGAGCUGCUGAAACAAGGGUAUGGCAGCAAGGAGAAGUUAGAGCAAAUCAAGGCCAUCCUUGAGUCUUGA
rnacentral:rRNA from 1 species